rnacentral:rRNA from 1 species
GACGAACGCUGGCGGCGUGCUUAACACAUGCAAGUCGAACGGAAAGGCCCUGCUUGCAGGGUGUGCUAGUGUCGAACGGGGGAGUAACACAUGUGUGUUCUGCCCUGCACUUCGGGAUAAGCCUGGGAGACUGUGUCUAAUACCGGGGAGGAGCCAUCCUGAGUGUGGGGGGGGGAUGGUUUUUUGGGUGUGGGAUGAGCUGGCGGCCUAUCAGCUUGUUGGUGGGUGAAUUGCCUACCAAGGCGGGGACGGGUCGGCGGCCGGGGAGGGUGGACGGCCACAUUGGGACUGGGAUACGGCCCAGAAUCCCACGGGAGGCAGCAGUGGGGAAUAUUGCACAAUGGGCGCAAGCCUGAUGCAGCGACGCCGCGUGGGGGAUGACCGCCUUCGGGUUGUAAACUCCUUUCGCUAGGGAAGAAGCUUUUUGUGACGGUACCUAGAUAAGAAGCACCGGCUAACUACGUG